rnacentral:rRNA from 1 species
UACGUAGGCCUCAAGCGUUAUCCGGAUUUACUGGGCGUAAAGGGUGCGCAGGCGGCCCGUUAAGACAGGUGUGAAAUCCCUGGGCUCAACCUAGGAAUUGCGCUUGUGACUGGCGGGCUCGAGUACGGUAGAGGGGGGUGGAAUUCCUAGUGUAGCAGUGAAAUGCGUAGAGAUCAGGAGGAACACCGAUGGCGAAGGCAGCCACCUGGGCCUGUACUGACGCUCAUGCACGAAAGCGUGGGGAGCAAACAGG